rfam:Camelus ferus unplaced genomic scaffold scaffold15685, whole genome shotgun sequence.
GAAGGUAUAGCUCAAGUGGUAGAGCACAUGCUUAGCAUGCUCAAGGUCCUGGGUUCAAUCCCCAGUACCUCCU